AGAUGAUAGCACACACGGUACAAUGGUCAGGAAAGUUCCUCUUUCCCAAAAGAGAUAUCAAGAGCAACACCAUUGUUCCUAUGGAUGGAUUUUCCGGCUGUGACCUCUGUCACCUGUAGUAACAUGCUGAGUUUCAGACCGGUUCUGCACUAGUCUCACUGUGGGUUGGAUCCUUCCUUCUGGGACUGAACUACUGGUCACGAGAUGUAGAUCUUUCUGUUUACAUUCCUCUGGUGCCAAGAUGAGGAUUUACCUCCUGAAAUGUGGUCAGUCUGGCGAAUAAUCUAUCAAUGUUUUUUCUUGAAUGUGAUCUGCUCUCCAGAGUGGCAAGAGGACCACACGUUCAAGGCCUUCUUGGACUACAGAGUGAAUUUCUAGGCCAGGCUGGGGAAGUUGGUGGGGUCCUGUCUCAAAACAAAACAAAAGGUGGAUUCGUAGUGCAGAGUGGCAUUCUGGCUGACAAGCCCAAGGCCUUGCAUUCCAUUGCUGGCAUGGGAAAGAAAACUGAAUGAACAAAAUAAACAGAAGCUUCUCCGGUCCUAAGCCAAAAA